UAGAGUUUGAUCCUGGCUCAGGGUGAACGCUGGCGGCGUGCCUAACACAUGCAAGUCGAGCGAAGCUGCUAGACAGAUCCCUUCGGGGAGACGUCUAGUAGACUGAGCGGCGGACGGGUGAGUAACACGUAGGUGACCUACCCCUCAGAGGGGGAUAACUGGGAGAAAUCCCAGCUAAUACCCCAUACGUUCCAUGCUGUAAGAGGCAUGGAAGAAAGGGAGCAAAUGCUCUGCUGAGGGAGGGGCCUGCGUCCCAUCAGGUAGUUGGUGAGGUAACGGCUCACCAAGCCUACGACGGGUAGCCGGUCUGAGAGGAUGGCCGGCCACAAGGGCACUGAGACACGGGCCCUACUCCUACGGGAGGCAGCAGUGGGGGAUUUUGGACAAUGGGCGAAAGCCUGAUCCAGCGACGCCGCGUGCGGGAAGAAGCCCUUCGGGGUGUAAACCGUUGUGGUGGGAGACGAAUAAGGUAAGGAGUGGAAAGCCUUACCGAUGACGGUAUCCCACUAGAAAGCCCCGGCUAACUACGUGCCAGCCGCCGCGGUAAUACA
rnacentral:rRNA from 1 species